UCUAUACAAACUGAGUUUAUCAUCUCACCCACACAACAAAUCCAUAUACAUCCCAAAACAAGGAGCAUAUAAAACCCAUAACCUUAGCAUGAUAAAACUAAACACAGCAAAGUACUUGCAAAUCGAAACUCAAGUCCCCACUGUUUCCACAUGAACAAGUUAAUAGCCAAACCCUUUACCUUGAAAUUGCAUCUAACCGACUAACCCAGAACUUGAACCAACUCAAAACCCAGAACUGAUAUGAACUAAAUCCUCCUCUCUUUUUUUAAAAGCCAAAACCCAAUAUACUUAACUUCACUCCAAAACCCAUACCCCCAAGCUUAAAAACAAGCCAAUACCUUUAAACCAGAUACCAAUAAAGCUCAUAAUUUUCCACACAGCAAAACCACAAAACUAGAUUUAUUUCUCUCACACCGCCGUGUUCUUGACCUCCGACGAAUCAAGCCCGGUCUUGGAGCCGUCUGGUGACGCCAGGAGCAACUUCGUAGGCCAACUUUUCUUGUUCGUCAACGAGGGCCUCAUCAUCGGCUCCGUUGGAGGAUCGUUUUCACUGCUGGAUUCUCCAGUUCUGACAUUGCCGUCUGACGAAAAGCCCAGAAUAGGGAAGCAGUAAGGGAAGAGGAUUUACGGAUUCCAAUCCAAAAUAGGCACGCCGUUAAUUCCUACCCAGUUACUAGGUUUGAGACGGGCUCAUCGGCAGGGAGGGAGUAACCUGUUUGGUUUGGUUUUGUUUUGGAUCAUUUUGUUUUCUUUUCGAUUCAAAUUAAAU
rnacentral:lncRNA from 1 species